CCUACGGUGGGCAGCAGUGAGGAAUAUUGGUCAAUGUGCGGAAGCCUGAACCAGCCAAGUAGCGUGCAGGAUGACGGCCCUACGGGUUGUAAACUGCUUUUAUACGGGAAUAACGCGCCUUACGUGUAGGGCUUUGCAUGUACCGUAUGAAUAAGGUCCGGCUAAUUCCGUGCCAGCAGCCGCGGUAAUCCGGAAGGUCGGGGCGUUAUCCGGAUUUAUUGGGUUUAAAGGGAGCGUAGGCCGCAUGUCAAGCGUGCUGUGAAAUGUCCGGGCUCGACCCGGGCCUUGAAGCGCGAACUGGCUGGCUUGAGUCCGCGGAAAGCAGGCGGAAUUCGUCGUGUAGCGGUGAAAUGCUUAGAUAUGACGAAGAACCCCGAUUGCGAAGGCAGCUUGCUGCAGCGGAACUGACGCUGAUGCUCGAAAGCGCGGGUAUCGAACAGGAUUAGAUACCCCUGUAGUC
rnacentral:rRNA from 1 species